GGUGGGUUUGUAAGUCAGAUGUGAAAGCCUCCUGUUCAACGGGAGAAUUGCAUCUGAAACUGUGAAUCUUGAGUGUAGGAGGGGAGAAUGGAACUUCUGGUGGAGCGGUGAAAUGCGUAGAUAUCAGAAGGAACGCCGGCGGCGAAAGCGAUUCUCUGGCCUAUUACUGACACUCAGUGUGCGAAAGCUAGGGGAGCAAACGGGAUUAGAUGCCCCGGUAGUCCUAGCCGUAAACGAUGGGCACUAAGUAGAGGGGUUU
rnacentral:rRNA from 1 species